AGUAAUUUACUUGAUCUUGACAACCUACAUGGAUAACUGCGGUAAUUCUGGAGCUAAUACAUGCACCAAAGCUUCGACCCGCGAGGGAAGAGCGCAUUUAUUAGAACAAAACCAAACGGCUUCGGCUGUCUAUUGUUGACUCAGAAUAACUAAGCUGAUCGCAUGGUCUUGCACCGGCGACGUGUCUUUCAAGCUUCUGCCUUAUCAACUUUCGAUGGUAGUGUAUGUGCCUACCAUGGUGGUUACGGGUAACGGAGGAUCAGGGUUCGACUCCGGAGAAGGGGCCUGAGAAAUGGCCACUACGUCUAAGGAUGGCAGCAGGCGCGCAAAUUACCCACUCUCGGUUUGAGGAGGUAGUGACGAGAAAUAACGAGACUGAUCUCUUAUGAGGCCAGUCAUCGGAAUGGGUACAAUUUAAACCCUUUAACGAGUAUCUAUGAGAGGGCAGGUCUGGUGCCAGCAGCCGCGGUAAUUCCAGCUCUCAAAAUGCAUAGAACCAUUGCUGCGGUUAAAAAGCUCGUAGUUGGAUCUGUGCCGGCUCCCCGGUCCAUCGCAAGAUGCGCACUGGUGGCGGCCGGCUUUCCUGUGGCUCACAGCCCGGUGGCCCUCACGGGCGGCCGGUGCCUGGGGCUACAACUUUACUUUGAACAAAUCAGAGUGCUCAAAACAGGCGUUUCGCUUGAAUGUUCGUGCAUGGAAUAAUAGAAGAGGAUUUCGGUUCAAUUUUAUUGGUUUUAUUGACUGAGAUAAUGGUUAACAGAGACAAACGGGGGCAUUAGUAUUGCCACGUGAGAGGUGAAAUUCUUGGACCGUGGCAAGACUGACUACAGCGAAAGCAUUUGCCAAGAAUGUCUUCAUUAAUCAAGAACGAAAGUCAGAGGUUCGAA
rnacentral:rRNA from 1 species